UACAGAGGGGGCAAGCGUUGUUCGGAAUUACUGGGCGUAAAGGGCGCGUAGGCGGCCCGCUAAGUCGAACGUGAAAUCCCCGAGCUCAACUCGGGAACUGCGUCCGAUACUGGCGGGCUUGAAUCCGGGAGAGGGAUGCGGAAUUCCAGGUGUAGCGGUGAAAUGCGUAGAUAUCGUAAGGAAGACCAGUGGCGAAGGCGGGUCUCUGGACAGUUCCUGACGCUGAGGCACGAAGGUCAGGGGAGCAAACGGG
rnacentral:rRNA from 1 species